GUUCAUAGGUCGACACUCAUCCACUGAGCCACACCAGUUGGGAGUAAAUAAGAAUUCUUGAGUCUCGGGAGACCUCCUUGAUUCUCUGACACCCCUCACAUCCAAAGGGCACUGAGUCUUGUUGAUUUGAUCACCUUAAUUGCUCUCAACUUUGACCCUUACUCGUCAUCCCUAUCAUCACUGCUUGAGUUCAGGUUUCAUUCAGACCACUGUGUACUAGCAGCCUUCUGGAGCUCCUUGCUUCCUUCCCGUGCUGACCUCUGAAGUGAUUCUCUAGACUAGCUUCUCACACUGUCUGUAGUCAAUUAUCAGCAUUAUUUCGUGUUGUUAAUUUCCAGCCAGUCACACACCAAUACACCUGGCCUUACCACACAUGAUUCCUAUACAACCUGAAUCCCCUGCAGCUGCCCACUGAGUUGACAACACAUAGGCUGGCCUCUGUCCUGUUCAGUAAGAUGAGCCCAUUGAUCACAAGCUGGGAUGUUGCUGGAAUGUCAAGCUGCUGUAGACGUCUGUAAGUGCUCAUUCUCAAUUCCCGGACUUGCCUGUUGCCUUGGGCCAGUAACAAACAACUCCUGGACAGGCACUGGACUGCACACCCACCUUGAUCAGCACUGCUCUAGACGGUUACCAGAGGGAAUGAUCAGCCAGUGAAGUGCCCCCAACUCCCCUUCAUCCUAUGCAAAGCCCGAGGGCUGCGUUAGUGCUUUUGUUCAGAGACAACAUUGAACUUCAGGUAUCCUGCCGAGAGCCUAGGACUAAAUCCGUCCUCCCUUUUAUGGGGUUUUCAGAAACUGCUGUUCUAACUUCCAGUGAAAUUUCAAACAUGUGCUUUCUGCUUUAUGACAAGUAAGAAGUGGAGUAAUUGAAAGUUGCUUGAGUGCUGUUAUUUUGGAGUGAAACCCUGUAAUGGAAACUUUUGUUCUGUGGCAUAUGUGAUUAAAAACAAACAUAAAUUUUCUGCUGCUUGCUGGACAUAACUCUUGGAGCCAGAUAUACAAUGUCUGUUUGUGUGACCUACUCUUCAUAAAAAUCCUUUUUAAAAAGCA